UACGUAGGGGGCAAGCGUUGUCCGGAUUUAUUGGGCGUAAAGAGCGUGUAGGCGGCCAGAUAGGUCGGUUGUGAAAACUGGAGGCUCAACCUCCAGACGUCGACCGAAACCAUCUGGCUAGAGUCCGGAAGAGGAGAGUGGAAUUCCUGGUGUAGCGGUGAAAUGCGCAGAUAUCAGGAGGAACACCGGUGGCGAAGGCGGAUCUCUGGGCCUUACCUGACGCUGAGGCGCGAAAGCUAGGGGAGCGAACAGG
rnacentral:rRNA from 1 species